GAGUUUGAUCUUGGCUCAGAUUGAACGCUGGCGGCAGGCCUAACACAUGCAAGUCGGGCGGUAGAGAGAAGCUUGCUUCUCUUGAGAGCGGCGGACGGGUGAGUAAUGCCUAGGAAUCUGCCUGGUAGUGGGGGAUAACGCUCGGAAACGGACGCUAAUACCGCAUACGUCCUACGGGAGAAAGCAGGGGACCUUCGGGCCUUGCGCUAUCAGAUGAGCCUAGGUCGGAUUAGCUAGUUGGUGAGGUAAUGGCUCACCAAGGCGACGAUCCGUAACUGGUCUGAGAGGAUGAUCAGUCACACUGGAACUGAGACACGGUCCAGACUCCUACGGGAGGCAGCAGUGGGGAAUAUUGGACAAUGGGCGAAAGCCUGAUCCAGCCAUGCCGCGUGUGUGAAGAAGGUCUUCGGAUUGUAAAGCACUUUAAGUUGGGAGGAAGGGCAGUAAAUUAAUACUUUGCUGUUUUGACGUUACCGACAGAAUAAGCACGGCUAACUCUGUG
rnacentral:rRNA from 1 species